rnacentral:lncRNA from 10 species
AAGCACAUGAUACUUUCAACAUUGUUAACUAUUAGAAAAAUGCAAAUUAAAUCUGUGAUGAGAUAGCACUGCAUAGUUGCAUAGUUGCAAAAGAGACCUCAUGGCCUUCAAAGCCUAAAAUAUUUACUUUCUAGGGCUUUACAGAAGCACUAAAAUAUGCACUUAUCCACAGUGUUCUCAACACAUCUGGUGGGCUACAAACAAACACUGAGUCCACAUUUCAUGUAUGGCUAUCAAAUCUGAUCAGAACUCUUACCAGUACUGGACAGUAUAGGAACUGCAGAGCAAUUCCUGAGGGUUUGCCCUCAGCUUAAACACACACUUCCACCCGCCCCCGCCACUUUUUACUAUGUAAACACCUCUUUACCCUUUAGGACUUAGCCCAAGCAUCACCUCUUCCUGAAGUCUUCUCUGACCAUUCAUUUCCACUCCAGGCUGGGAAAGGAACCUUCUCUUUAUUCCCAUGAUACCCUCUGCAUGCUUUUGUCACUUUGAAAUAGUAUUUGCUAUGGUCUGAAUGUUUGUGUCACUCCCAAAUUCAUGUUGAUACCUAAUCCCCAAAGUAAUAAUAUUAAGAGAUGGGACUUUUAGGAGGUGAUUAGGUCAUGAGGGUGGAUCCUCAUGAAUGGGAUUAGUGCUCUUAUAAAGAGUGCUCAGAGAGUUUAUUAGCCUCUUGCCCUUUUCACCGUGUGAAUAUGCAGCAAGAAGGGACCAUCUAUAAAGGAGAGAGCCUUCACUAGACAACUAAACCUGCUGGCACCUCAAUUUUUGGACUUUCAAGCCUCAAGAACUGUUGGUGAUAAAUUUAUGAUAUUUAUAAAAUUUUCCAGUCUAAGAGAAUCUUCACCAAAUGAGUACAAAUGUAACUAGAAGGAAUUUGUCUGUAAAAGGGGCUACCGAGAAGAACCAAGUGCUAUGAUGACAGGAAACAGACUCCUUUGUGAUUUUGAGGGGUAGGUAUUCAAGAGUCCCCUUAACCUACAGAGCAAGUCCAAACUCUUAGUCUAGUAUUCAAGGCUCUUCAUAAACUGGGUCGGACUUACCGCUCCAGCUGUAUGCCAUGCUGCUCUCCACCUUACCAGACUAAUUGCCAUGCGUUCCCUGGGACUGCACACCUGCAGAGUGUGUGGUUCUUCAAACUAAACUACCUUUCACCUCAAUGUCUUCCUAUAAUAAUCUCAUCACCCCUUUAAGACAAAGCUCAAAACCACCUUCUUUCAAACAGCAUUCCUUCCAGAUACUCUAAUUCGACAUAAUUUUUUACUCCUCCAAUAUCCCCUUAACACCUUGUUUAAACUUCUGUAUAGACCUUUAUUAUUGCCUUCUUUGUAUGAGAAUUAACAGUGCACAUGUCAAUUUCUCAUUACAGUGUGAACUCCUGGAGAGUGAGAGCCAUGUCUUAUUCAUUCUUUAUCUUCUUCACAGCAGGCAUUCAACAAAUAUUCAUUGAAUUGGAUUGGAUUGGAACUGGAAUAAACACACCAUCUAGACAUUUAUUAUUGGGAAUGCCCCCACGAUUCCAGGGCCAACUGUGAUCGGUUUGGCCUUUCCCUUUCCAGAUUUUCAGGCUAAUUUUCCAGUGCUGGAAAUAAACUAAAAAUAAUAAAACUAAAAACCUAAAAACAAACCCCUUUGUAACCAUUAAAUUUCUAUCAGACAGUGAAUAAAGGACAGUUACCUAACAUCUGAAAUGCCUUUCCUUUUGGAUACUGAGGAACUUAGAAAUGUUCAAUUCUGUGAUUGGGCCAUGAUCGCAUCCUGAUUCUGAAUCCCUAAAACGUGAAGGCAAGGCAGCUGGAGAGCCAGGAUUGGAGUCCACCAGAAGAAGGCAGAGACAGAAACUGUCUCUUGGUUACCAAGGUUUCUCUUAGAAAACCCCAUUCACACAAAUCUGAAUUCAGAGGCAACACCCAGGGUGAGCAACACUGAUAAGGAAACUAGAGAGUUCUGAUCAGGAAAAUAAAAUAAAAGACCAUUCCCUCUUGUGUCUUGGUGUUUUGGGUCAAAGUAGGAGUUGCAAGUCCAUAGCUCUAACUAAUUUACAGUAUAAAUGUAUUAAACAAAAAUGCACAAUAGCUGGAGAUUCUGCCUGAGGUCUUCAUAAUGUCAUUACACAGGAAAAACUGUGGGCUUCAUACUGUGGGAAUCUCUUUUUGGCUUGUAUUAUAAGCAGGAAGUGCUUCUUCCCACCCAAGAUCCCUCCCAUGGUUUAGCUUGUAAGAAAAUGCUGUUCCAGCAUGAGAAAACUCAGCUCCACCCUCUGGUAUGGAGUCUGGCAUGCAGUGUUAUGUUCACAGUGUGGCUAUUAUUGUGGCUUGCCACUAGAGAAUCGCAGGCUCAUAGAAAAGCUAGAAAUACUGAUUUAAGGGAGGCAGUAUAUAUAUUGAUUAAAAGCAUAUUUUUUAGGGUCAGAUAAACCUGGGUUCAAAUUCUAGUUCUUCCAUCUACCAGCUGUGUGACCGUAGACAAUGUCCUUAGCCUUCCUGUGCCUCAUCUGUCACUUUGGAGAUAAUUACUGCACCUCCCUCAUGGGUUUGUCAUGAGGAUUAAAGGAAAUUAUGCAUAUAGUAAAUGCCUAAAUAAGAGUGAGCUAGAAUGAAAGCUAGUGAGGUCAGAAGUCACUGACCUCAAGUUCCAAAUAAACAAGAACUUUAUAGUUGAUAAGGCCAGACCAGAAAAUAUGGACUGAAGCGGUAGGAGAAAACUUAUGAAAAGGAUAAAAUAAACUAUUAGAAAGUAUUGGGACAAACUCUGAAGCCUGGUUUGAAACCCACUUUGAGAGUCGCCCAAGGCCAGAGUGGACACAUGGUGCUCAGGAAGGAAAACCAAUCAAGUUAAUUUUCAUCUCCAUGGAGCAUUUGCAAGCCACCAGAAGUCUUCAAGUGUCAGAAUGCAUAACUGGGUAGUGCCCUCAAUAUAGAGAAAAAGUAAAAGAAACCUGAAGACAGCAAAUGAACACUGAAUUUACACAUUCAAAAUCAAAUUCAGUGCCCUAUAUACAAAACUUAUCAAAACCUCAGGGUUUUCCUAAAGUUACAUUUCAACCAUGUAGCCUUUAAGGGAGUCAGCAAGACUGCAUGUGCUGACAUGGAAAGCAUGGAAAGAUACACAUGUGACAUGGUUUCAAUGUGUGUCCUCUCCAAAUCUCAUGUUGAAAUGUGAUUCCUAAUGUUGGAGGUGGGACCUGGUGAGAGGUGACUGGUCAGCCCCUUUAGCUGCUUAGCAUCAUCACCUUGGUGAUAAGUGAGUUGUCACUUUGAGUGCACAUGAGAUCUGUUUUUUUAAGAGACUGGGACCUUCUCCGUCUCUCUCUUGUUCUCUCUCUCACCAUAUGAUGUGCCUGCUCCACCUUCGUUUUCCACAUGAUUGUAAGCUUUCUGAGGGCUUCACCAGAAGCAGAUGCCAGCAGCAAACUUCCUGUACAACCUGUAGAGCCAUGAGCCAAUUAAACCUCUUUUCUUUGUAAAUUACCCAGCCUCAGGUAUUUCUUUAUAGCAAAGCAAAUGGCCUGAUACAACAUGGAAGUGGAUGUACAAAACUUGUGUUUACCAUGCUCCAGUCUGAGUUUUCUAAGAAAGCAUAUAUAAGUAAAUGUGUGUAUGUUACCUAUAUGUACAUAUAUGUAUGAAUGUAUACAUUACAUACACACUUAUAUACAUAUAGAAAAUUUUUAUAGGGAUAUGUAAGAAAUUGUUAUUGAUGUUAUACAAAGGAGUGAAACUAGGAGCUUGAUGUGGAAGAGGAUCUUCUUUUCAUUUUAUAUGCUUUU